rnacentral:tRNA from 1 species
GGAGUUGCGGCUCAGUGGUAGAGUGCUUGCCUCACAUGUGUGAGGCACUGGUUUUGAUUCUCAGCAUUGUUUGUAAAUAAAUGAAUAAAAUAAAGUCCAUCAACAAUUUAAAAAAAUAUUGAAAAAAAAAAAGAGGCUGGGGAUAUAGAUUAGUUAGUAGAGUGCUUGCUCUGGGUUCAAUACCCAGCACCA